rnacentral:lncRNA from 1 species
GGGUUCUGGACAGACCUACGCUGUCGGGGAGUGUUUACUUCGCCUCCACUUCUGUUCCUCCCCGCCCUGGUGCUGCUCCAGGUCACAUACUCUUCCUGAGCCGGCUUCAGCCUCUCCGCGCAGAAGUCUCCCGGAGCCAUGGCCUAGUAUUCUUAUGUGAAGUCUACCAAGCUUGUGCUCAAGGGAACCGAGGUGAAGAGCUGGGUCCUGCAGCUCCGGCGGGAGCCUCCUCAGUUCUUUUCGGACGCACUCCACCCCCGCGAAUCCGGUGGAAGCCGUGAUGCGGAGAGCCGGCUUCGUGGCCUCCCAGGCUUCGCUCUGACCCUGUCUGGGCUGGAUGGAGGCCGGACCGCCCUUCCUGGCGCCUGUGCAGAGAGGGGCAGCCUCCUGCGCGGACGACCCUGGAAACAGGAUAGACGGGCGGGUGACCCGUGACCCCGUACCCACGAGUUUGGGUCCCUUGAGGCAUCUCUCCAGGCCUCUGCCUGUAAGAAGAAAAAGAGCAAAGAUAAGAAGAGAAAAAGAGAAGAUGAAGAAACCCAGCUUGAUAUGUUGGAAUCUGGUGAACAGUAACAAACUUUGGUGAAAUUUCAGGAACCAUAGCCAUUGAAGUGGAUGAGGGAACCUAUAUACAUGCACUCAACAAUGGUCUUUUUACCCUGGGAGCUCCACACAAAGAAGAAUCGCCCUGAAACCUGGCUAUGGAAAAUAUCUUAGUAUAAAUUCAGAUGAACUUGUUGUUGGCGUUCAGAUGCAAUUGGACCAAGAGAACAAUGGGAACCAGUCUUUCAAAAUCUUAUUUUGGGAGAGGCCAGCUGCCAUGUCAUGAAGACACUCAAGAAGCCCUGUGAAGAGGAAGCAAGGCCUGCCAACAACAGCCAGCACCAACUUUCCAGCCAAGGGAUUGAGCCAUCUCACAGUGGAUCCUCCAGCCCCCACCAAGCCUUCAUAUGACCAAACCAAUACCAACAUGUAACUGUGACCUCAUGUGAGUCCCCAAGCCAGAAUACCCAUCUCCUGUCUCAGAAAUGAUGAGAAAUAAUAAAUAUAUGUGCUCACACACAUUACCAUCUAA